rnacentral:rRNA from 1 species
GUUAUAUGGUCAAGUGAAGAAGCGCAUACGGUGGAUGCCUUGGCAGUCAGAGGCGAUGAAAGACGUGGUAGCCUGCGAAAAGCUUCGGGGAGUCGGCAAACAGACUGUGAUCCGGAGAUGUCUGAAUGGGGGAACCCAGCCAUCAUAAGAUGGUUAUCUUGUACUGAAUACAUAGGUGCAAGAGGCGAACCAGGGGAACUGAAACAUCUAAGUACCCUGAGGAAAAGAAAUCAACCGAGAUUCCCUUAGUAGUGGCGAGCGAACGGGGACCAGCCCUUAAGUUGUAUUGAGAUUAGCGGAACGUUCUGGAAAGGACGGCCAUAGUGGGUGAUAGCCCUGUACGCGAAAAUCCCUUUGCAAUGAAAUCGAGUAGGACGGGGCACGAGAAACCUUGUCUGAAUAUGGGGGGACCAUCCUCCAAGGCUAAAUACUACUGACUGACCGAUAGUGAACCAGUACCGUGAGGGAAAGGCGAAAAGAACCGCGGAGAGCGGAGUGAAAUAGAUCCUGAAACCGUAUGCGUACAAGCAGUGGGAGCCCACUUUGUUGGGUGACUGCGUACCUUUUGUAUAAUGGGUCAGCGACUUAUUUUCAGUGGCGAGCUUAACCGAAUAGGGGAGGCGUAGCGAAAGCGAGUCUUAAUAGGGCGUCUAGUCGCUGGGAAUAGACCCGAAACCGGGCGAUCUAUCCAUGGGCAGGUUGAAGGUUGGGUAACACUAACUGGAGGACCGAACCGACUACCGUUGAAAAGUUAGCGGAUGACCUGUGGAUCGGAGUGAAAGGCUAAUCAAGCUCGGAGAUAGCUGGUUCUCCUCGAAAGCUAUUUAGGUAGCGCCUCAUGUAUCACUGUAGGGGGUAGAGCACUGUUUCGGCUAGGGGGUCAUCCCGACUUACCAAACCGAUGCAAACUCCGAAUACCUACAAGUGCCGAGCAUGGGAGACACACGGCGGGUGCUAACGUCCGUCGUGAAAAGGGAAACAACCCAGACCGUCAGCUAAGGUCCCAAAGUCAUGGUUAAGUGGGAAACGAUGUGGGAAGGCUUAGACAGCUAGGAGGUUGGCUUAGAAGCAGCCACCCUUUAAAGAAAGCGUAAUAGCUCACUAGUCGAGUCGGCCUGCGCGGAAGAUGUAACGGGGCUCAAACCAUGCACCGAAGCUACGGGUAUCAUCUUUUGAUGAUGCGGUAGAGGAGCGUUCUGUAAGCCUGUGAAGGUGAGUUGAGAAGCUUGCUGGAGGUAUCAGAAGUGCGAAUGCUGACAUGAGUAACGACAAUGGGUGUGAAAAACACCCACGCCGAAAGACCAAGGUUUCCUGCGCAACGUUAAUCGACGCAGGGUUAGUCGGCCCCUAAGGCGAGGCUGAAAAGCGUAGUCGAUGGAAAACAGGUUAAUAUUCCUGUACUUCUGGUUAUUGCGAUGGAGGGACGGAGAAGGCUAGGCCAGCCUGGCGUUGGUUGUCCAGGUUUAAGGUGGUAGGCUGAGAUCUUAGGUAAAUCCGGGAUUUCAAGGCCGAGAGCUGAUGACGAGUGUUCUUUAGAACACGAAGUGGUUGAUGCCAUGCUUCCAAGAAAAGCUUCUAAGCUUCAGGUAACCAGGAACCGUACCCCAAACCGACACAGGUGGUUGGGUAGAGAAUACCAAGGCGCUUGAGAGAACUCGGGUGAAGGAACUAGGCAAAAUGGCACCGUAACUUCGGGAGAAGGUGCGCCGGUGAGGGUGAAGCAUUUACUGCGUAAGCCCACGCCGGUCGAAGAUACCAGGCCGCUGCGACUGUUUAUUAAAAACACAGCACUCUGCAAACACGAAAGUGGACGUAUAGGGUGUGACGCCUGCCCGGUGCCGGAAGGUUAAUUGAUGGGGUUAGCGCAAGCGAAGCUCUUGAUCGAAGCCCCGGUAAACGGCGGCCGUAACUAUAACGGUCCUAAGGUAGCGAAAUUCCUUGUCGGGUAAGUUCCGACCUGCACGAAUGGCGUAACGAUGGCGGCGCUGUCUCCACCCGAGACUCAGUGAAAUUGAAAUCGCUGUGAAGAUGCAGUGUAUCCGCGGCUAGACGGAAAGACCCCGUGAACCUUUACUAUAGCUUUGCACUGGACUUUGAAUUUGCUUGUGUAGGAUAGGUGGGAGGCUUUGAAGCGUGGACGCCAGUCUGCGUGGAGCCAACCUUGAAAUACCACCCUGGCAACUUUGAGGUUCUAACUCAGGUCCGUUAUCCGGAUCGAGGACAGUGUAUGGUGGGUAGUUUGACUGGGGCGGUCUCCUCCUAAAGAGUAACGGAGGAGUACGAAGGUGCGCUCAGACCGGUCGGAAAUCGGUCGUAGAGUAUAAAGGCAAAAGCGCGCUUGACUGCGAGACAGACACGUCGAGCAGGUACGAAAGUAGGUCUUAGUGAUCCGGUGGUUCUGUAUGGAAGGGCCAUCGCUCAACGGAUAAAAGGUACUCCGGGGAUAACAGGCUGAUACCGCCCAAGAGUUCAUAUCGACGGCGGUGUUUGGCACCUCGAUGUCGGCUCAUCACAUCCUGGGGCUGAAGCCGGUCCCAAGGGUAUGGCUGUUCGCCAUUUAAAGUGGUACGCGAGCUGGGUUUAGAACGUCGUGAGACAGUUCGGUCCCUAUCUGCCGUGGACGUUUGAGAUUUGAGAGGGGCUGCUCCUAGUACGAGAGGACCGGAGUGGACGAACCUCUGGUGUUCCGGUUGUCACGCCAGUGGCAUUGCCGGGUAGCUAUGUUCGGAAAAGAUAACCGCUGAAAGCAUCUAAGCGGGAAACUUGCCUCAAGAUGAGAUCUCACUGGAACCUUGAGUUCCCUAAAGGGCCGUCGAAGACUACGACGUUGAUAGGUUGGGUGUGUAAGCGCUGUGAGGCGUUGAGCUAACCAAUACUAAUUGCCCGUGAGGCUUGACCAUAUAACACCCAAGCAAUU